GAUGAAGAACGUAGCGAAAUGCGAUACUUGGUGUGAAUUGCAGAAUCCCGUGAACCAUCGAGUCUUUGAACGCAAGUUGCGCCCGAAGCCAUUUGGUUGAGGGCACGUCUGCCUGGGCGUCACAUAUCGUUGCCCGAUGCCUAUUGCACUGUGAUAGGAAAUUCUAGGGCGAAAGAUGGCUUCCCGUGAGCGUUGUUGCCUCGCGGUUGGUUGAAAAUUGAGUCCUUGGUAAGGUGUGCCAUGAUAGAUGGUGGUCGAGUUUGCACGAGACCGAUCAUGUGUGCGCUCCCCAAAAUAUGGACUCUUUGACCCCACACGCGUCUUUUGACGCUCAUGACGAGACCUCAGGUCAGGCGGGGCUACCCGCUGAGUUUAAGCACAUCAAUAAGCGGAGGA
rnacentral:misc_RNA from 1 species